UCCGUAGGCGGUGUGGUAAGUCGAUAGUGAAAUCUCUGGGCUUAACCCAGAGGCUGCUAACGAAACUGCCAUGCUAGAGUGUGAGAGAGGCGAGUGGAAUUACGGGUGUAGCGGUGAAAUGCGUAGAUAUCCGUAGGAACAUCCGAGGCGAAGGCGGCUCGCUGGAUCACAACUGACGCUGAGGGACGAAAGCUAGGGGAGCAAACAGGAUUAGAUACCCUGGUAGUCCUAGCCCUAAACCAUCAGGACUUGGGGUUUGCCCUGUACGGGGCAAGUCCCGUAGCUAACGCGUUAAGUCCUGCGCCUGGGGAGUACGGUCGCAAGGCUGAA
rnacentral:rRNA from 1 species